rnacentral:rRNA from 1 species
CGACCGGCGCACGGGUGAGUAACGCGUAUCCAACCUGCCUUACACUCUUGGACAGCCUUCUGAAAGGGAGAUUAAUACAAGAUGUUAUCAUGAGUAAGCACUUUCGCAUGAUUAAAGGUUUACCGGUGUAAGAUGGGGAUGCGUUCCAUUAGAUAGUAGGCGGGGUAACGGCCCACCUAGUCUUCGAUGGAUAGGGGUUCUGAGAGGAAGGUCCCCCACAUUGGAACUGAGACACGGUCCAA